rnacentral:misc_RNA from 1 species
GAUGAAGAACGCAGCGAAAUGCGAUAAGUAAUGUGAAUUGCAGAAUUCAGUGAAUCAUCGAAUCUUUGAACGCACAUUGCGCCCGCCAGUAUUCUGGCGGGCAUGCCUGUUCGAGCGUCAUUUCAACCAUCAAGCCCUGCUUGCGUUGGGGUCCUGCGGCUGCCCGCAGGCCCUGAAAACCAGUGGCGGGCUCGCUAGUCACACCGAGCUCAGUAAUACAUCUCGCUUUGGGCGUGCGGCGGGUUCUUGCCGUUAAACACCCCCUUUUUACCAAGGUUGACCUCGGAUCAGGUAGGAAUACCCGCUGAACUUAAGCAUAUCAAUAAGCGGAGGA